AUAUCUUUCUCAGUCUUUUGGCUAAAAUCAAGUGUAGUAUAUAUUCUUAUUAAUUUAAUAUUUGAUAUGUGAGCCAUCGGUCUAUUAUGAUGUUAAAUUAAUUUUUUAUUGGGAGAGGGUUUACCACACUAGUUUGCUACUGCUAUCCUUAUGUGUGUUGCCCUUGCGUUACACUAUAGUAUGGGUUUGAUGCACUAACC